rnacentral:rRNA from 1 species
CUGGCCUUGACAUCCUGCGAACUUUCUAGAGAUAGAUUGGUGCCUUCGGGAACGCAGUGACAGGUGCUGCAUGGCCGUCGUCAGCUCGUGUCGUGAGAUGUUGGGUUAAGUCCCGUAACGAGCGCAACCCCUAUCCCUAGUUGCUAGCAGUUCGGCUGAGAACUCUAGGGAGACUGCCGGUGACAAACCGGAGGAAGGUGGGGAUGACGUCAGGUCAUCAUGGCCCUUACGGCCAGGGCUACACACGUGCUACAAUGGUGCGUACAGAGGGCUGCGAACCCGCGAGGGGGAGCUAAUCUCACAAAACGCAUCGUAGUCCGGAUCGGAGUCUGCAACUCGACUCCGUGAAGUCGGAAUCGCUAGUAAUCGCGAAUCAGAAUGUCGCGGUGAAUACGUUCCC